rnacentral:sRNA from 12 species
CCACGAUUGGAAUCAAGAUGCUUUGGUCGUGGUCGGAACAGCGCCGUGCACAAGGGGAUCUGCAAAGCACGGCACGUAAGCACUCAGAUGCGAAAGUAGGAACUGCGUUAGGCGUCCAGACGCAGGUAGCCCGAAUUUUAUAGCUGAUGAGCGUAGCGCGUUGCAGGGUGGCGGCCAAAAGGUCGUGAAAGCUACAGCACAGGG